rnacentral:misc_RNA from 1 species
AAGUCGUAACAAGGUUUCCGUAGGUGAACCUGCGGAAGGAUCAUUAUCGGGAGUGCCCUCGUGGCUUAACCUGCAACCCAAUGUUUAAACAACCUUGUUUCUUUGGCGGGCUCGCCCGUCAGAAGAACCCUUAAACUCAUUAUAAAUUUGUCUUCUGAAUCAAAUUUUAAUAAAUUAAA